UACAAGGGGGAGAAGGAAAGGGGAAGACGAAGGGGGGAAAUGACUGUCGCUGGGGGGUUUCCCUGUGCACGUCAUUCUUCUUUGUUUGACCUGCUCCUCUCUUUCCUUCACCACACACACACCUUGUGCACCUGUUGUAGGUCCUUGAUAAGAGGAUCUAUGUUUUCUCACAUCACACCUUAUCGUAUGUCCAUAGAAUGUAUGGGAAAAUGAUAUACAACUUUCAGCAACGGAUCUCUUGGCUCUCGCAUCGAUGAAGAACGCAGCGAAUUGCGAUAAGUAAUGUGAAUUGCAGAUUUUCAGUGAAUCAUCGAAUCUUUGAACGCAUCUUGCGCUCCUUGGUAUUCCGAGGAGCAUGCCUGUUUGAGUGUCAUCGAAUUCUCAACCAUGUCUUGAUUUAUUUCAAGGGCCAUGGCUUGGAGGUUGGGGGUUGCUGGCGGCCGGAUCUGGCUGUUGGCUCUCCUGAAAUGCAUUAGCAAAAGGGCGCGAAUGUCUUUCAGCGUGCACGGCCUUCGACGUGAUAAUGAUCGUCGUGGCUGGAGCGCCUGGAUGUUGACGGGGGGAGAGAAAUCGAUCACCCCUUCCCUUGUGCUUCUAAUCCGUAUGCUAGUCAGUUUCUGGCUAGCUUUCUUGCGACUUGACCUCAAAUCAGGUAGGACUACCCGCUGAACUUAAGCAUAUCA
rnacentral:rRNA from 1 species